AUUGAACGCUGGCGGCAUGCUUUACACAUGCAAGUCGAACGGUAACAGGCCUUCGGGUGCUGACGAGUGGCGAACGGGUGAGUAAUGCAUCGGAACGUACCCAGAGGUGGGGGAUAACGCAGCGAAAGCUUUGCUAAUACCGCAUGUGAUCUGAGGAUGAAAGCGGGGGACCGAGCAGCAAUGUUUGGCCUCGCGCCUUUGGAGCGGCCGAUGUCGGAUUAGCUAGUUGGUGGGGUAAAGGCCUACCAAGGCGACGAUCCGUAGCUGGUCUGAGAGGACGACCAGCCACACUGGGACUGAGACACGGCCCAGACUCCUACGGGAGGCAGCAAUGGGGAAUUUUGGACAAUGGGCGCAAGCCUGAUCCAGCAAUGCCGCGUGCGGGAAGAAGGCCUUCGGGUUGUAAACCGCUUUUGGCAGGAACGAAACGGUGUCCGCUAAUACCGGGCGCUAAUGACGGUACCUGCAGAAUAAGCACCGGCUAACUACGUG
rnacentral:rRNA from 1 species